rnacentral:rRNA from 1 species
CAGUAGCCACGGUAAUACGAAGGGUGCAAGCGUUACUCGGAAUUACUGGGCGUAAAGCGUGUGUAGGUGGUUGUUUAAGUCUGUCGUGAAAGCCCUGGGCUCAACCUGGGAAUUGCGAUGGAUACUGGGCGACUAGAGUGCGGUAGAGGAUAGUGGAAUUUCCGGUGUAGCAGUGAAAUGCGUAGAGAUCGGAAGGAACAUCUGUGGCGAAGGCGACUAUCUGGGCCAACACUGACACUGAGACACGAAAGCGUGGGGAGCAAACAGGAUUAGAUACCCCCGUAGUCCCUGUCUCUUAUAA